rnacentral:rRNA from 1 species
CUACGGGACGCUGCAGUGAGGAAUAUUGCACAAUGGGGGGAACCCUGAUGCAGCAACGCCGCGUGGAGGAUGACGCAUUUCGGUGUGUAAACUCCUUUUAUAUGUCAAGAAAAUGACGGUAGCAUAUGAAUAAGCACCGGCUAACUCCGUGCCAGCAGCCGCGGUAAUAGGAGGGUGCAAGCGUUACUCGGAAUCACUGGGCGUAAAGGACGCGUAGGCGGGUUGGAAAGUCAGGUGUGAAAUCCUACAGCUUAACUGUAGAACUGCACUUGAAACUUCUAAUCUAGAGGAUGGGAGGGGGAGAUGGAAUUAGUGGUGUAGGGGUAAAAUCCGUAGAUAUCACUAGGAAUACCUAAAGCGAAGGCGAUCUCCUGGAACAUUACUGACGCUAAGGCGUGAAAGCGUGGGGAGCAAACAGGAUUAGAUACCCGGGUAGUC